AAUGAACGUUGGCGGCAUGGAUUAGGCAUGCAAGUCGAGCGAGAAGUGUUGCAAUACAUGGAAAGCGGCGGAAGGGAGAGUAAUACGUGGGAAUCUGCCCUUAGACCUGGGAUAGCAGCGGGAAACUGCUGGUAAUACCAGAUAAUGUCUAUGGACCAAAGGUGUGAUUCCGUCUAGGGAUGAGCCCACGUCCUAUUAGCUAGUUGGUAGGGUAAUGGCCUACCAAGGCGAUGAUGGGUAGCGGGUGUGAGAGCAUGACCCGCCUCACUGGGACUGAGACACUGCCCAGACACCUACGGGUGGCGGCAGUCGAGAAUCUUCGGCAAUGGGCGCAAGCCUGACCGAGCGAUGCCGCGUGCGGGAUGAAGGCCUUCGGGUUGUAAACCGCUGUCGAGGGGGAGCAACUUCCAUAGAGUUAUCUUUAUGGAUUGAGUGAUCCCUGGAGGAAGGACGGGCUAAGUUCGUGCCAGCAGCCGCCGUAAAAC
rnacentral:rRNA from 1 species